CUCGGCCGUCCGCGGAUUCAAAGACCUUCCGCACACUUUGCAUGUAGUUUUCAUCCCGGCCGCUAGAUGUCGCUGUCAGAUAGACUGGGCUCUAGACUCACAGCAGAAGUGCACGUUGAUAAUGAAAAUAACUUCAUUGUCAACGUGCAGUGAAGCAACAGACUCAAGUUUCCAUCCGCCAGAUAAAAACAGCUGUUUCAAACCUGUGGUGGAUCUCAGUGGUCAUGAAGAGAACCUGCAGGACACUGUUGAGGAUGGUGGCUGUGUGAUAUCCACCCUGUAGACUGCCUACAAGAUUCACCAUCCCGUACAGUUUGAACGUCUUGUUCUACGGUGAAGAACACAGUCAGAUAAAAGCAGCUGAUUCCAACCUGUGGUGGAUCUCAGUGGUCAUGAAGAGAACCUGCAGGACACUGUUGAGCAUACCACAGGUGGGACAGGCUCGGAUGCAGGGACAGCCGUUGACGCCCUUCACAUCCUCAAAGACGAUAUCUGGACAGUUUUUCAAUGUGUUCAAAGGAUCUGGGCAGCCGUCAUUGUCACAGCGGUCUGAGCGAGG